rnacentral:rRNA from 1 species
UACGGAGGGUGCGAGUGUUGUCCGGAAUCAUUGGGCGUAAAGGGCGCGUAGGUGGCUCGCCAAGCGGGCGGUGAAAGCCUGGGGCUCAACCCCGGGUCGGCCGUGCGAACUGGCGAGCUGGAGCACUGUAGAGGCAGGCGGAAUUCCGGGUGUAGCGGUGGAAUGCGUAGAGAUCCGGAAGAACACCGGUGGCGAAGGCGGCCUGCUGGGCAGUGGCUGACACUGAGGCGCGACAGCGUGGGGAGCAAACAGG